CUACGGGGCGCUGCAGUGAGGAAUAUUGCACAAUGGGGGGAACCCUGAUGCAGCAACGCCGCGUGGAGGAUGACGCAUUUCGGUGUGUAAACUCCUUUUAUAUGUCAAGAAAAUGACGGUAGCAUAUGAAUAAGCACCGGCUAACUCCGUGCCAGCAGCCGCGGUAAUACGGAGGGUGCAAGCGUUACUCGGAAUCACUGGGCGUAAAGGACGCGUAGGCGGGUUGGAAAGUCAGGUGUGAAAUCCUACAGCUUAACUGUAGAACUGCACUUGAAACUUCUAAUCGAGAGUAUGGGAGGGGUAGAUGGAAUUAGUGGUGUAGGGGUAAAAUCCGUAGGUAUCACUAGGAAUACCUAAAGCGAAGGCGAUCUCCUGGAACAUUACUGACGCUAAGGCGUGAAAGCGUGGGGAGCAAACAGGAUUAGAUACCCCCGUAGUC
rnacentral:rRNA from 1 species